rnacentral:rRNA from 1 species
AUUGAACGCUGGCGGCAUGCUUUACACAUGCAAGUCGAACGGCAGCGCGGGCUUCGGCCUGGCGGCGAGUGGCGAACGGGUGAGUAAUGCAUCGGAACGUGCCCAGUAGUGGGGGAUAGCCCGGCGAAAGCCGGAUUAAUACCGCAUACGACCUGAGGGUGAAAGCGGGGGACCGAAAGGCCUCGCGCUAUUGGAGCGGCCGAUGCCGGAUUGGCCAGUUGGUGGGGUAAAGGCUUACCAAGGCGAGGAUCCGUAGCUGGUCUGAGAGGACGACCAGCCACACUGGGACGGGGACAGGGACCAGACGACUGCGGGAGGCAGCAGUGGGGAAUGUUGGGCAGUGGGGGGGAACCUGAUCCAGCGGUGCCGCGUGCGGGAAGAAGGCCUUCGGGUUGGAAACCGCGUUUGUUCGGGAAGAAAUCCUCUGGGCUAAUACCCCGGGGGGAUGACGGUACCGGAAGAAUAAGCACCGGCUAACUACGUG